AGCUUGGGUCCAAGUACACCCGACACAGCGGAGCAGGGACUUGGACCCCGAGCUCAGUCACUCAUCAGGAAAUGCAUCUUUACGGAUUUGGAAAGAACCGAGAGACAUUAUUACCAAUGGUCCUCUUAUUACGUGAAGGAUUCUUCCCUGAGAUUCUUCCCCUGUUUCAACUGACACUGAAAAACUGUGAACUCUUUGGAAGACAAAUGUCAAGGAAAUAAAUGUUAUGCAUUGCUAAUUUUAAA